CGAAAACGAAUUCUCUCUUGAGUGGAUCCUGAGUACGACGGAGCACGUGAAAUUCCGUCGGAAUCUGGGAGGACCAUCUCCUAAGGCUAAAUACUCUCUAGUGACCGAUAGUGAACCAGUACCGUGAGGGAAAGGUGAAAAGUACCCCGGAAGGGGAGUGAAAGAGAACUUGAAACCGUGUGCUUACAAGUAGUCAGAGCCCGUUAAUGGGUGAUGGCGUGCCUUUUGUAGAAUGAACCGGCGAGUUACGAUCUGAUGCAAGGUUAAGCAGAAAAUGUGGAGCCGUAGCGAAAGCGAGUCUGAAUAGGGCGAAUGAGUAUUUGGUCGUAGACCCGAAACCAGGUGAUCU
rnacentral:rRNA from 1 species